rnacentral:rRNA from 1 species
GACGAACGCUGGCGGCGUGCUUAACACAUGCAAGUCGAACGGAAAGGCCCUGCUUUUGUGGGGUGCUCGAGUGGCGAACGGGUGAGUAACACGUGAGUAACCUGCCCUUGACUUUGGGGUAACUUCAGGAAACUGGGGCUAAUACCGGAUAGGAGCUCCUGCUGCAUGGUGGGGGUUGGAAAGUUUCGGCGGUUGGGGAUGGACUCGCGGCUUAUCAGCUUGUUGGUGGGGUAGUGGCUUACCAAGGCUUUGACGGGUAGCCGGCCUGAGAGGGUGACCGGCCACAUUGGGACUGAGAGACGGCGCAGACUCCUACGGGAGGCAGCAGUGGGGAAUAUUGCACAAUGGGCGGAAGCCUGAUGCAGCAACGCCGCGUGCGGGAUGACGGCCUUCGGGUUGUAAACCGCUUUCGCCUGUGACGAAGCGUGAGUGACGGUAAUGGGUAAAGAAGCACCGGCUAACUACGUG